GACCAACCUUCCUUAAUCCAAUUUGAUGACUCAUCUAUGCUCACUCAACCUGGAUGCUCUUCCUCAAUCUUUAAGGAGUUUCAGCGACCUGAGGUGAGCGCUGCAUCCUAUAUGAACUAAGGGGUCCCAGGAUUAUACUGUCUUUCAGAGCUAGGGACCAAACCCAGGGCCUUUCACUCGCUAGGGGAUCAUGGUGUACCACAGUGUAUAUCUGAAGGUCAAAGGAUAACAUGCAAGAGUCAGUU